GACAGGGGCACCUGAUCUGACAUUCCGCGUGAGUGAAGAAGGCCUUCGGGUUGUAAAGCUCUUUCGCAAGGGAAGAAACGAUACAGUCUAAUAAACUGUGUUAAUGACGGUACCUUGAUAAGAAGCACCGGCUAACUACGUGCCAGCAGCCGCGGUAAUACGUAGGGUGCGAGCGUUAAUCGGAAUUACUGGGCGUAAAGCGUGCGCAGGCGGUUUUGAAAGUCAGAUGUGAAAUCCCCGGGCUCAACCUGGGAACUGCGUUUGAAACUCCAAAGCUAGAGUAUGGGAGAGGGGGGUAGAAUUCCACGUGUAGCAGUGAAAUGCGUAGAGAUGUGGAGGAAUACCAAUGGCGAAGGCAGCCCCCUGGCUUAAUACUGACGCUCAUGCACGAAAGCGUGGGGAGCAAACAGGAUUAGAUACCCUGGUAGUCCACGCCCUAAACGAUGUCUACUAGUUGUUGGGGGAGUAAAAUCUCUUAGUAACGCAGCUAACGCGUGAAGUAGACCGCCUGGGGAGUACGGUCGCAAGAUUAAAACUCACAGGAAUUGACGGGGGCCCGCACAAGUGGUGGAUUAUGUGGAUUAAUUCGAUGCAACGCGAAAAACCUUACCUGGCCUUGACUUGUAGCGAACUUAGC
rnacentral:rRNA from 1 species